GCUGGGAUAGCUCAGUCAGUAGAGCAUGAGACUCUACAUCUCAGGGUCAUGGGUAGAAGCCCAACCUUGGGCA